GGUAAGACGACCGGCCUGAUCUUCGGAUCUCCCCGGUAUGAACCUUCCCGUGCUUUUUAGAACAUAGAUGGCACCAGUCAGGUGACCAUCGAAACGUAAUACGUCACAGAGACUUCGUGUCCUGAUGAUAUGGCGAGCUGCGCCGUCCACGUUUCUCUUUCUUCAAAAGGAUAUCGAACCAUGGGUUUGCGCUCGCGCGCUGUCGCACCUUCGGUGCUGCGCUCCGCGAGGGCGCCGGACGACCGGCGACGGCCUCUGGCCUGUAUGGGCGGCUCUUUCUGAGGUUUUGCUCAGGUUAGGCGUCAACGCAGAGAGAUGGGCCCGUAGCUCAGUUGGUUAGAGCACACGCUUGAUAAGCGUGGGGUCGGAAGUUCAAGUCUUCCCGGGCCCACCAUUUGCACCGGCAAAUGAGGUUUGCUGUAGCGAAUUGUGGUUUGUUUGGGUUUACCUGAUCCUGGCGGUUUGCUGUCAGGUGUUUGCGAUGGUUGGGGCUGUAGCUCAGCUGGGAGAGCACCUGCUUUGCAAGCAGGGGGUCAGCGGUUCGAUCCCGCUCAGCUCCACCAAUUCGCUUGGUGUCGAGACUGAGAGAUAUCCUUUGAAGAAAUAAAAGUUUUGCAUCGGCUUAGGCUGAUGCGUGUUCUGCAUACAUUGUGAAGAGAAGAUUGAUCUGGAGGCUUCCAGGUGUUUUGGGUUCUGCCCAAGGCGUCCGAGCCCAGUUCCUGUGAAUCCAUGGAUGGCCUAGCCGGCCGGAUGUGGGGGAGGAAUUGGAGGUAGGUAGGAAGCUUGUCGCUCUGGGCUGUCAGCGUAAACCGCGUAGCGGUUUAUCGCGUGUUGUUUGUUUAUCCUUAGGGAUGAGCAUCUGACGGACGGCUUGAUUACCGUUGCCUGACCGCGCGGUAUCGGAUCCAAUCUCGAGAAGCUGGUCUUAAGACAGGCUGCAAGUGGGCUGCUCGGCGUAGCUCCAAUAAAGCAGACCUGUCGAACACGUUAAUGGCAUCAAAGAUGGUCUGGGUUGUAAAAGGUAACCCUGGCCGCCGCAUCCCUUCGGGAUGUCGGCUAAGUGAUGAGCAUUGGCAAUGAGAACGAUUAAGUGUCGUAAGGGCAUUUGGUGGAUGCCUUGGCAUGCACAGGCGAUGAAGGACGUGAUACGCUGCGAAAAGCCGUGGGAGCUGCGAA
rnacentral:misc_RNA from 1 species